rnacentral:rRNA from 1 species
CUAAGCCCGAAGCCUCUCCCGAAAAUAGGCAGCCAAUCCCCAAAAUGGCUGGGCUGGCAACAGCCUGCGCCGAGGGGACGAGGGCUCCCAUAGAAGAUGGGUUUGAUGGAGCCGGGGUGUAAGCCGGAAGGCUUCGGCCGACCGGUUCAGCCUGCGGCCCCCAACCGCCCGAGGUGUCGGGCUC